rnacentral:rRNA from 1 species
UGGGGAAUCUUGCACAAUGGGGGCAACCCUGAUGCAGCGACGCCGCGUGAGCGAUGAAGCCCUUCGGGGCGUAAAGCCCUUUCGACCGGAACGAUAAUGACGGUACCGGGAGAAGAAGCUGCGGCUAUCUACGUGCCAGCAGCCGCGGUAAUACGUAGGCAGCAAGCGUUGUUCGGAGUUACUGGGCGUAAAGAGUGCGUAGGCGGUUUGGCAAGAAAGAUGUGAAAUCCCAGGGCUUAACCUUGGAACUGCAUUUUUAACUGCCAGGCUAGAGUAUGUCAGAGGGGGGUAGAAUUCCACGUGUAGCAGUGAAAUGCGUAGAGAUGUGGAGGAAUACCGAUGGCGAAGGCAGCCUCCUGGGAUAAUACUGACGCUCAGGCACGAAAGCGUGGGGAGCAAACA